rnacentral:misc_RNA from 1 species
UCCUAGUUAACCUAGGCAGUCUCGCUAGAGUGCCCGCCAUUACGCGUUGGCAACUAACGACAAGGGUUGCGCUCGUUGCGGGACUUAACCCAACACCUCACGGCACGAGCUGACGACAGCCAUGCAGCACCUGUGUCUUUUGUCUCUUGCGAGAAAACUGUAUUUCUACAGCGGUCAAAAGCAUGUCAAGUCCAGGUAAGGUUCUUCGCGUUGCAUCGAAUUAAACCACAUGCUCCACUGCUUGUGCGGGUCCCCGUCAAUUCUUUUGAGUUUUACCCUUGCGAGCGUACUCCCCAGGCGGUAUACUUAACGCGUUCGCUACGGUACUGUCAGGGUUGAGCCUAACAACACCAAGUAUACAUAGUUUAAGGCAAGGACUAC